GAGGCGAGGAGCACCCCAAGAUUCCUGCAGGGCUGGCAGCAGGGCUAGGCACAAAUUCCCCAUAAUUUCUUGGAGGGGUGGGGUUUGCGAUUUAUUUUUUUUUAAUAUUUGAGGAAAAACUGGCCUUUCCCUGCGCCCUAAGCACCUCCGUUCCAAGCUGCGGACACAAACCCAGCAGCACCAAAGUGGCGGGGAGGGAGCGAAACAUGGCCGCCCUCUCUGAGGGGAACCCGCAAACGCCCUCACGGUGAGAGGCUCAUGGCUGCCUUGCUGCCCCCGCAACCCUCCCCAGGCACCUUCUCCUCACUCCCAAAGACCUCUCUUCCCCCCCCCCCACCCCGAAACUGCUUCGGAUAAUUGGAAAUAACGGAGAAAAUUCCCUCCGGGGCGGGAAUGGAGCUGCACCGGCUGCGUUUGCAAUCGCACAGGGCUGCCGUGGGGGGAAGGCGGGAAGCGGUUUACCUCAGGGGCUGGAGGUGGCCAGAGGCAGCCCCGAGUACGUCUAUCCCAAGUUUUCCCUUUCCAGGGACGUAAAAACUUGAUGUGUUGCAGCACCAUCUGCUGGUUCCUAUUAGCGAGGGGCUGCUGCUUUAAAAAUGUUCCGUUCUCACAAAGCCUGGAAUUAUGCUCUCAAACCUACCACGGGUCAGCAGAACAGUGGAGACAUCUGAUGUAGCCACACCAGCAAAGUCAAAAGCAGACAUGUCAAAGAAACAAGGUUCCCUGUGAGAUCACACCCAAGGAGUUCACAGUGAAGGCUGAUGUGGACACAGCAGCACAUGCAGGCUGUGAUGAGAUGUGAUGCCACAACAAGGAGAGGGACACUGGCACACUCAGUCCUGCAGCCAUGGAUCAGGAGCUGUGGAACAAGCUCACCAGGAGGCAGUAAGGAAAGGAGGUGGAUUAGUGCCAACUCACCCUUUAUUUGCAGAUAUAUUCAGCUGUGCUUUCCUGAGACUGUGACCGAGUUCCCUUUUCCUAAUAUAAAUUUUUCUAACUCUUUCCAAAAGCUUGCCACUGGAGUUCCUUGUAUGAAUGUGCUUUUUGGUUUUUCCAGCUUCCUGGGUAGAGACUUAAGCUUGACAAAAGGCAUUUGUUUAUACCAAAUUCAGUAAUUUUUGCUGCUCUUAACUACCUGAUAGGAAGGCUGCAGAUGUGUAACUAACUCCAAAGUCAGUAACAAUUUGUAUUAAAAUUAUAAUAGAUACCCUUCCUACACUCUCCAACCUCUUACCUUUGAUAGAACACGUGAGCAGACCCAGAGGAAGCUUAGGUAUGAGAGAUGAUCCUGCUGUUUGAAUUCCCACCUCUGAUGAGCAUUAAGGUCUUACCUGUUAAGAAAACUGUUUCUCUCACAUCCAUGCAAGAUUUCUGGGUCCUGUUACCUGUUUCUGGGUAACAGUACAUGCUGAACUAACUUACUGACCAUACCAAGUAGAAAUAUGUAAAAUACCCAUCCUGAAAAUGUGUAACAGCUCAAUUUAUGCAUAUUUAUGUUACCUUAUUGCAGGAUCUUCACACCUUCCUAUGAAGUCUUUGUGACUGUUCUUGAAAAUUAAACAAAGCUCACAUGAAAUAAACCUAAUGGUGAAUA